ACACAUGCAGUCGAGGGGUAACAGAUCUUCGGAUGCUGACGACCGGCGAACGGGUGAGUAACACGUAUGCAACUUACCCAUAACUCGGGAAUAGCCCAAAGAAAUUUGGAUUAAUACCCAAUAAUACAGGCGUACCGCAUGGUAUUCUUCGUUAAAGAAUAAUCGGUUAUGGAUAGGCAUGCGUUCUAUUAGGUAGUUGGUGAGGUAACGGCUCACCAAGCCGACGAUGGAUAGGGGAACUGAGAGGUUGUCCCCCCACACUGGUACUGAGACACGGACCAGACUCCUACGGGAGGCAGCAGUGAGGAAUAUUGGUCAAUGGACGAAAGUCUGAACCAGCCAAAUCGCGUGAAGGAAGAAGGUAUUAUGUAUCGUAAACUUCUUUUGUAAGAGAGUAAAGUGCACUACGUGUAGUGUAUUGCAAGUACCUUACGAAUAAGCAUCGGCUAAUUCCGUGCCAGCAGCCGCGGUAAUACGGAAGAUGCAAGUGUUAUCCGGAUUUAUUGGGUUUAAAGGGUGCGUAGGUGGUCUAAUAAGUCAGUGGUGAAAUCUCUUUGCUUAACAAGGAAAUUGCCAUUGAAACUGUUAGACUUGAGAAUGGACGAGGUAGGCGGAAUUCGUAGUGUAGCGGUGAAAUGCAUAGAUAUUACGAAGAACUCCAAUAGUGUAGACUGCUUACCAGACCAUAUCUGACACUAAGGCACGAAGGUGUGGGUAUCAAACUGGAUUAGAUACCCUGGUAGUCCACACAGUAAACGAUGAAUACUAACUGUUUGCGAUAUACAGCAAGUGGUCGAGCGAAAGCGUUAAGUGUUCCACCUGGGAAGUAUGCCGGCAACGGUGAAACUCAAGGAAUUGACGGGGGCCCGCACAAGCGGAGGAACAUGUGGUUUAA
rnacentral:rRNA from 1 species